rnacentral:tRNA from 1 species
GGGCGUUGUCGGUGGGCUGGCGGCUGCGGCUGGUGCCCGCGACACCCGGGCUGUUCGACACCGUCCUGCGCCUGCC